GCUGGCGGCGUGCCUAUACAUGCAAGUCGAGCGGACAGAAGGGAGCUUGCUCCCGGAUGUUAGCGGCGGACGGGUGAGUAACACGUGGGUAACCUGCCUGUAAGACUGGGAUAACUCCGGGAAACCGGAGCUAAUACCGGAUAGUUCCUUGAACCGCAUGGUUCAAGGAUGAAAGACGGUUUCGGCUGUCACUUACAGAUGGACCCGCGGCGCAUUAGCUAGUUGGUGGGGUAAUGGCUCACCAAGGCGACGAUGCGUAGCCGACCUGAGAGGGUGAUCGGCCACACUGGGACUGAGACACGGCCCAGACUCCUACGGGAGGCAGCAGUAGGGAAUCUUCCGCAAUGGACGAAAGUCUGACGGAGCAACGCCGCGUGAGUGAUGAAGGUUUUCGGAUCGUAAAGCUCUGUUGUUAGGGAAGAACAAGUGCGAGAGUAACUGCUCGCACCUUGACGGUACCUAACCAGAAAGCCACGGCUAACUACGUGCCAGCAGCCGCGGUAAUACGUAGGUGGCAAGCGUUGUCCGGAAUUAUUGGGCGUAAAGGGCUCGCAGGCGGUUUCUUAAGUCUGAUGUGAAAGCCCCCGGCUCAACCGGGGAGGGUCAUUGGAAACUGGGAAACUUGAGUGCAGAAGAGGAGAGUGGAAUUCCACGUGUAGCGGUGAAAUGCGUAGAGAUGUGGAGGAACACCAGUGGCGAAGGCGACUCUCUGGUCUGUAACUGACGCUGAGGAGCGAAAGCGUGGGGAGCGAACAGGAUUAGAUACCCUGGUAGUCCACGCCGUAAACGAUGAGUGCUAAGUGUUAGGGGGUUUCCGCCCUUAGUGCUGCAGCUAACGCAUUAAGCACUCCGCCUGGGGAGUACGGUCGCAAGACUGAAACUCAAAGGAAUUGACGGGGGCCCGCACAAGCGGUGGAGCAUGUGGUU
rnacentral:rRNA from 2 species